GACACGGUCCAAACUCCUACGGGAGGCAGCAGUGAGGAAUAUUGGUCAAUGGAGGAAACUCUGAACCAGCCAAGUCGCGUGAAGGAAGAAUGUCCUAAGGAUUGUAAACUUCUUUAGCGAGCGAGUAAGGACUUCCACGUGAUGGGAGUUUGAAAGUAGCUCGAGAAUAAGUAUCGGCUAACUCCGUGCCAGCAGCCGCGGUAAUACGGAGGAUCCGAGCGUUAUCCGGAUUUAUUGGGUUUAAAGGGUGCGCAGGUGGUCUUGCAAGUCAGUGGUGAAAAGCUGAGGCUCAACCUCAGCCUUGCCGUUGAAACUGUAAGACUUGAGAGUACAUGAUGUGGGCGGAAUGCGUAGUGUAGCGGUGAAAUGCAUAGAUAUUACGCAGAACUCCGAUUGCGAAGGCAGCUCACAAAGGUAUGUCUGACACUGAGGCACGAAAGCGUGGGGAGCGAACAGGAUUAGAUACCCUGGUAGUCCACGCCGUAAACGAUGAUUACUCGAAGUAUGCGAUAUGACAGUAUGCUUCCAAGCGAAAGUGAUAAGUAAUCCACCUGGGGAGUACGCCGGCAACGGUGAAACUCAAAGGAAUUGACGGGGGCCCGCACAAGCGGAGGAACAUGUGGUUUAAUUCGAUGAUACGCGAGGAACCUUACCCGGGAUUGAAAUGUAUGUGAGCCUUUUGGGAAACCGAGAGGGUUCUCUUCGGAGACACAUAUGUAGGUGCUGCAUGGUUGUCGUCAGCUCGUGCCGUGAGGUGUCGGCUUAAGUGCCAUAACGAGCGCAACCCUUAUCGUCAGUUACUAACAGGUAGAGCUGAGGACUCUGGCGAGACUGCCGUCGUAAGGCGAGAGGAAGGUGGGGAUGACGUCAAAUCAGCACGGCCCUUACAUCCGGGGCGACACACGUGUUACAAUGGUAGGGACAGAGAGUAGCCACUCGGUGACGAGGAGCGGAUCUCGAAACCCUAUCUCAGUUCGGAUCGGAGUCUGCAACUCGACUCCGUGAAGCCGGAUUCGCUAGUAAUCGCGCAUCAGCCAUGGCGCGGUGAAUACGUUCCCGGGCCUUGUACACACCGCCCGUCAAGCCAUGGAAGUUGGGGGUACCUGAAGUGCGUGACCGCAAGGAGCGUCCGAGGGUAAAUCCAGUGACUGGGGCUAAGUCGUAACAAGGUAGCCGUACCGGAAGGUGCGGCUG
rnacentral:rRNA from 1 species